rnacentral:rRNA from 1 species
UGCAAGUCGAGCGGACAGAAGGGAGCUUGCUCCCGGAUGUUAGCGGCGGACGGGUGAGUAACACGUGGGUAACCUGCCUGUAAGACUGGGAUAACUCCGGGAAACCGGAGCUAAUACCGGAUAGUUCCUUGAACCGCAUGGUUCAAGGAUGAAAGACGGUUUCGGCUGUCACUUACAGAUGGACCCGCGGCGCAUUAGCUAGUUGGUGAGGUAACGGCUCACCAAGGCGACGAUGCGUAGCCGACCUGAGAGGGUGAUCGGCCACACUGGGACUGAGACACGGCCCAGACUCCUACGGGAGGCAGCAGUAGGGAAUCUUCCGCAAUGGACGAAAGUCUGACGGAGCAACGCCGCGUGAGUGAUGAAGGUUUUCGGAUCGUAAAGCUCUGUUGUUAGGGAAGAACAAGUGCAAGAGUAACUGCUUGCACCUUGACGGUACCUAACCAGAAAGCCACGGCUAACUACGUGCCAGCAGCCGCGGUAAUACGUAGGUGGCAAGCGUUGUCCGGAAUUAUUGGGCGUAAAGGGCUCGCAGGCGGUUUCUUAAGUCUGAUGUGAAAGCCCCCGGCUCAACCGGGGAGGGUCAUUGGAAACUGGGAAACUUGAGUGCAGAAGAGGAGAGUGGAAUUCCACGUGUAGCGGUGAAAUGCGUAGAGAUGUGGAGGAACACCAGUGGCGAAGGCGACUCUCUGGUCUGUAACUGACGCUGAGGAGCGAAAGCGUGGGGAGCGAACAGGAUUAGAUACCCUGGUAGUCCACGCCGUAAACGAUGAGUGCUAAGUGUUAGGGGGUUUCCGCCCCUUAGUGCUGCAGCUAACGCAUUAAGCACUCCGCCUGGGGAGUACGGUCGCAAGACUGAAACUUCAAGGAAAUUUGACGGGGGCCCGCACAAGCGGUGGAGCCUGUGGUUUAUUUCGAAGUCACCGCCAAGAACCUUACCCGGUCCUUGACAUCCUCUGACAACCCAGAGAUAGGCUGUCCCUUUCGGGA